AUUGAACGCUGGCGGCGUGCCUAACACAUGCAAGUCGAGCGGUAACAGGUGUAGCAAUACAUGCUGACGAGCGGCGGACGGGUGAGUAACGCUUGGGAAUCUGCCUAUUAGUGGGGGACAACCCGGGGAACUCGGGCUAAUACCGCAUACGCUCUACGGAGGAAAGCCGGGGACCGCAAGGCCUGGCGCUAAUAGAUGAGCCCCAAGUCGGAUUAGCUAGUUGGUAGGAAUGGCCUACCAAGGCGACGAUCCGUAACUGGUCUGAGAGGACGACCAGUCACACCGGAACUGAGACACGGUCCGGACUCCUACGGGAGGCAGCAGUGGGGAAUAUUGGACAAUGGGCGAAAGCCUGAUCCAGCGAUGCCGCGUGUGUGAAGAAGGCCUGCGGGUU
rnacentral:rRNA from 1 species